GGUAAAAUUUCCCACUGCGAGGCAGGCAGUGAUGCUGCGGCCGCUUCGCACUGUGGCUCCUGCCGACCGCCAGGCGCUGUUACAGUGGAUGCGAACUAACCAUGCAGCAGCAGCCGGAACCCACAGUUCACCUUGGUGCAUUCCUUUAUGAUGAAGACUUAUUGAUUCAUUAUAUGAGAAAGGAAAAAUGAGCAGAAACUACUGUAUGAUGUGCAGCUCACACCAGACAGCAACUUUAGGGUUAUCUUUCCAGUUCAGCAGUGCAACUCUAUGGAGUAGAAUUGAAAGGAGACUUUUCGCCAAUUGCAGGAAAUGGUCAUAAAAAAAUACCUGCUCACUGACAGAAUAAAGUCUCACUCUGUCACCUGGCUGGAGUUUAGUGACACGAUCUUAGCUCCCUGCAACCUCUGCCUCCUGAGUUCAAGUGAUUCUCCUACCUCAGCCUCCUGAGUAGCUGGAAUUACAGGUUCUUCUGCUUCCC
rnacentral:lncRNA from 1 species